GGAGGCUAACAGCUUGAUCCGUCUGAUUUCUCCUCUUUUUUACUUCGUUUGGAUAGUUUGUUUAACACAUAUCUGACAACAUACACGGCUUGCUGUGCGGUUAACAGACCCUCCAAGAAGUUGAUGCUUCAGUUUUUUUCGACCCCUCACUAAAAGUCCAUGUUCUCCUGGAUCCAUGUCACAUGCUCGAGCUUCUUCAGAAUGACUUUUCAACAGUCGAAGUUCUGGUGAGAGAAGAUGGCCAGCAGAUAAGACAGCAGUACAUCAACGAGCUUCAGGAGGAGGAGGAGGGUUUGUACCUUGGAAGACUGUAUUCAUGCUGUUCAAAUAAAAAUAGAUCUCCUCCAAACAACUUGCAUUCAAACCAUUUUCUUCCCAUUUUAAAACCCUUUGUCCAGUUUAGAUGGGAGAAGUUGAUAUUAUGUGAUAUUGAUCUGGGAAGACUACAUUUCUAAAUCAUUUUUAACUGUUUUUAUUCACAAGUUAUUGAUCUUAUUUACUCUCCAUGUAUCUUGAUUUAAGAAUGGGGCUGUGUUUAAGGGCACAUUUUGCAAUGACUCUCUUCCAUCCCACUUUCAGAAAUGAACUACAUUAGUAUUUGGUUAAAAAAAAAAAUGAGUGCAUUUAUAUAGAAAUAUUUAUUUAAUCUGAAAAACUACAUUCAAAAAGCCUGUUUUUACAGCAGAGAUUAACAUGUUUACAGCUUGGUACAAAACAAACAAAUAGGUGUGAUUAGCUCAUGUCUCGAUCGACACACACUGUACGGGGGUCGUUUGAUUUGAUGAAGGAUAAGAGUUAUUCACAAUAAGGUGUGUAGCUGACCAGCUUGACAGGCGGGUGCGGUGUAACGUUUUGUCAAGAAGCUUAAAACACGCCUCAGCCUCAGUUCUCAGCCUGUGGGUGACAUCACUCAGGCCAUCCGGGGGAGACCUCCCUCGCAGCGAGUUGUUGAAGAGAAACAACUGAAGUCCACCCCAGAAGAACCAACAAAGGCAGAUGUUGUUGAGGCUCAGGUUUCUUCCUCUGUCUCUGCAGCUCUCUGGGCACCUCGACGGACAAGUCACCAAUAAUCCACACUGUGUC